rnacentral:misc_RNA from 1 species
UACUCUACUUGCCUCCCACACUGGCUAUAAAAUUCUUCUGUUCUCUUUCUACCUUCUUAGUUGCAGUGUAUGAGUAGUGUUAAAUAGUAUGCGUUAAUAUACAUUUACAUUGAUGUACUAUGUAUACAUGUACAUAUAAUAGUUGACCGAUUAUACGACAAGAUUUUUUACUGUGCAGUAAUAGACGCGGAUCGCCAUUUUUUGGAGCAUUGAUCGUGUAAAAAAUAGGUUCUAAAGUGGAAAAAAUAGGUGAUGAAUUUAACUGUAGUAAGUUUAAACCUCGGACCACCUAAUAGGUGGUAACCUGAAGAUAUAAAGCAUUAACCUAUCAAAUGAUAUGCUCAAUAAUGAAGUAGUAAGGCUAAUAAGCAGAUGAUUCUGGAUUAAACUAGAGCUUCUGGAUUAUCAAUGGAAGUAAAUUAAGAAAAACACACCUAAAUGCCAUUCAUUAAUCUUGCAUAGCACCUGCAAAAACUUGCGGCCAACAAUUGAUAAAAAAUGGCCACUAAUCAAGUCGAUUAUCAGUGGGCCUAUUCCAUUAUGGAUUCGUCCAGGGUUUCUACUUUUUUAAUAUCAAUUUUGUUAAUUGUUUAUGGAAGUUUUCGAUCAUUGAAUAUGGAACAAGAGGCAAGAGAAAGGGAAAAAGAAAAAGAGCGAAAAAAUUUACUUACGGGAUUGACAAGUGGUACCAAUAGUACAGAUAGCAGUAAUAAUGGUGUUCAAACCCUGGAUACUAUGCACGCUCUUUGUCUACCUCUUGGUGCUUCCAUAUCCCUUCUUAUUAUGUUUUUCUUCUUCGACAGUAUGCAAAUGUUAUUUGCUAUUUGUACAGCAAUUAUAGCGACAGUUGCAUUGGCAUUUCUCCUCUUGCCAAUGUGCCAGUAUAUCAUACGACCAUGCUCAGACGGAAACAAAAUUUCAUUCGGCGUUUGCGGCAGGUUUACUGGUGCUGAACUGUUAUCAUUCUCACUUAGUGUGAGCAUAGUUUGUAUUUGGGUACUAACCGGUCACUGGUUACUGAUGGACGCAAUGGGUAUGGGUCUUUGUGUUGCCUUCAUAGCAUUUGUACGAUUACCUAGCCUAAAGGUAUCCACACUUUUACUCACUGGACUACUUAUAUAUGAUGUCUUUUGGGUCUUUUUUUCAUCUUAUAUAUUUAGUACAAAUGUUAUGGUUAAAGUGGCCACGAGACCAGCAGAUAAUCCAGUAGGUUUAGUAGCACGACGACUACACCUUGGCGGUGUAGCUCGUGAAGCCCCAAAGCUCUCUUUACCAGGGAAACUAGUUUUUCCAUCAAUACAUCAAGCUGGGCAUUUUUCAAUGCUUGGUCUUGGAGAUGUAGUUAUGCCUGGACUAUUGCUUUGUUUUGUUCUACGAUAUGAUGCUUACAAAAAAAGUCAGCUCAUUCCUGGCGGCUGUGAGGCUGGUGUACCACCUCCAAGACAUUUAAGUCGUAUUAGUUACUUCCAUUGCUCACUUAUUGGUUAUUUUCUCGGUUUACUCACUGCCACUGUUAGCUCCGAGGUUUUUAAAGCAGCACAACCCGCCUUACUUUAUCUUGUACCAUUUACGCUUUUACCAUUACUUACCAUGGCAUACCUUAAGGGAGAUUUACGGCGUAUGUGGAGCGAACCAUUUAUAACACACGUACCAUCAAAGCAUUUGGAGGUCUGACGAAUAUCUUAGAAUUGCACAUUUCAAGUAUUUCGCUAUAAGAACAAAAAUAAUGAAUGCGUGUUUAACGUCAUGUUACAAAUACUCCAAUUAUUCAUUGGUACCAUUGUGUAUUGGAAAAAUUAAAAAUAGUUUUUUUCUUAGCAGGAAGUAAUACAUUACACCGAACAAAAGGAAAAUU